rnacentral:rRNA from 1 species
UACGUAGGUGGCGAGCGUUGUCCGGAAUUACUGGGUGUAAAGGGCGUGUAGGCGGGGAUGUAAGUCAGAUGUGAAAUACCGAGGCUUAACUUCGGGGCUGCAUCUGAAACUACGUUUCUUGAGUGUCGGAGAGGAAAGCGGAAUUCCCAGUGUAGCGGUGAAAUGCGUAGAUAUUGGGAGGAACACCAGUGGCGAAGGCGGCUUUCUGGACGAUAACUGACGCUGAGGCGCGAAAGCGUGGGGAG